rnacentral:lncRNA from 1 species
CUGCCAUUCGUAAAAGUCUUUGCAGAUGCUGUUAUAGAUCAUACCAGGAGUGUACACAGCAUGAUAAAAGUAUGAAAUACACACCAGCACACACAGAUGAUGUGAGGGUGACAAUGCCUAAUGGUCAAGUAACUCCAGAUCUUAUUCAAAAUACUCGUGAUGGUCGCGGAGAUCCUAGGAAGAUUCAUGAUAUUCCCAAUGGAGUUGCUGUAGAAAAUGGCACUGCCGGUAGUCACACUGCUAGAAAUACACAAUCUGGAG